GGUUAAGCGACUAAGCGUACACGGUGGAUGCCUAGGCAAUCAGAGGCGAUGAAGGACGUGCUAAUCUGCGAUAAGCGUCGGUAAGGUGAUAUGAACCGUUAUAACCGACGAUUUCCGAAUGGGGAAACCCAGUGCAAUUCGUUGCACUAUCGUUUGAUGAAUACAUAGUCAAACGAAGCGAACCGAGGGAACUGAAACAUCUCAGUACCUCGAGGAAAAGAAAUCAACCGAGAUUCCCCUAGUAGCGGCGAGCGAACGGGGAGCAGCCCAGAGUCUUAAUCAGCAUUAGCAUCAGGAGAACGGUCUGGAAAGGCCGGCAGUAAAGGGUGAUAGCCCCGUAUCCGAAGGUGUUAGUGUUGUGAACUCGACGAGUAGGGCGGGACACGUGUUAUCCUGUCUGAAUAUGGGGGGACCAUCCUCCAAGGCUAAAUACUCCUGAUUGACCGAUAGUGAACCAGUACCGUGAGGGAAAGGCGAAAAGAACCCCGGCGAGGGGAGUGAAAUAGAACCUGAAACCGUGUACGUACAAGCAGUGGGAGCACCUUUAUGGUGUGACUGCGUACCUUUUGUAUAAUGGGUCAGCGACUUAUAUUCUGUAGCAAGGUUAACCGUAUAGGGGAGCCGUAGGGAAACCGAGUCUUAACUGGGCGAAUGAGUUGCAGGGUAUAGACCCGAAACCCGGUGAUCUAGCCAUGGGCAGGUUGAAGGUUGGGUAACACUAACUGGAGGACCGAACCGACUAAUGUUGAAAAAUUAGCGGAUGACUUGUGGCUGGGGGUGAAAGGCCAAUCAAACCGGGAGAUAGCUGGUUCUCCCCGAAAGCUAUUUAGGUAGCGCCUCGUGAACUCAUCUUCGGGGGUAGAGCACUGUUUCGACUAGGGGGUCAUCCCGACUUACCAACUCGAUGCAAACUACGAAUACCGAAGAAUGUUAUCACGGGAGACACACGGCGGGUGCUAACGUUCGUCGUGAAGAGGGAAACAACCCAGACCGCCAGCUAAGGUCCCAAAGUCAUAGUUAAGUGGGAAACGAAGUGGGAAGGCUCAGACAGCCAGGAUGUUGGCUUAGAAGCAGCCAUCAUUUAAAGAAAGCGUAAUAGCUCACUGGUCGAGUCGGCCUGCGCGGAAGAUGUAACGGGGCUAAACUAUGCACCGAAGCUGCGGCAGCGAUAUGUAAAUAUUGUUGGGUAGGGGAGCGUUCUGUAAGCCUGUGAAGGUGUGCUGUGAGGCAUGCUGGAGGUAUCAGAAGUGCGAAUGCUGACAUAAGUAACGAUAAUGCGGGUGAAAAACCCGCACGCCGGAAGACCAAGGGUUCCUGUCCAACGUUAAUCGGGGCAGGGUGAGUCGACCCCUAAGGCGAGGCAGAAAUGCGUAGUCGAUGGGAAACGGGUUAAUAUUCCCGUACUGGUGAUAAUUGCGAUGGGGGGACGGAGAAGGUUAGGCUGGCCGGGCGACGGUUGUCCCGGUUUAAGGAUGUAGGCAGGUGAAUUAGGCAAAUCCGGUUCACUAUAUGCUGAGGUCUGAUGACGAGUCACUACGGUGGCGAAGUAGCUCAUACCCCGCUUCCAGGAAAAGCCUCUAAGCUCUAGAUUAUCAUUAAUCGUACCCCAAACCGACACAGGUGGUCAGGUAGAGAAUACUCAGGCGCUUGAGAGAACUCGGGUGAAGGAACUAGGCAAAAUGGUGCCGUAACUUCGGGAGAAGGCACGCUGGCAUUAGGUGAAGUGGUUUACCCAUGGAGCUGAAGCCAGUCGCAGAUACCAGCUGGCUGCAACUGUUUAUUAAAAACACAGCACUGUGCAAACACGAAAGUGGACGUAUACGGUGUGACGCCUGCCCGGUGCUGGAAGGUUAAUUGAUGGGGUUAUCCGUAAGGAGAAGCUCUUGAUCGAAGCCCCAGUAAACGGCGGCCGUAACUAUAACGGUCCUAAGGUAGCGAAAUUCCUUGUCGGGUAAGUUCCGACCUGCACGAAUGGCGUAAUGAUGGCCAGGCUGUCUCCACCCGAGACUCAGUGAAAUUGAACUCGCUGUGAAGAUGCAGUGUACCCGCGGCAAGACGGAAAGACCCCGUGAACCUUUACUAUAGCUUGACACUGAACAUUGAGCCUUGAUGUGUAGGAUAGGUGGGAGGCUUUGAAGCGUGGACGCCAGUCUGCGUGGAGCCAACCUUGAAAUACCACCCUUUAAUGUUUGAUGUUCUAACGUAGCCCCGUAAUCCGGGGUGCGGACAGUGUCUGGUGGGUAGUUUGACUGGGGCGGUCUCCUCCCAAAGAGUAACGGAGGAGCACGAAGGUUGGCUAAGCAUGGUCGGACAUCAUGCGGUUAGUGCAAAGGCAUAAGCCAGCUUGACUGCGAGAGUGACGGCUCGAGCAGGUACGAAAGUAGGUCUUAGUGAUCCGGUGGUUCUGUAUGGAAGGGCCAUCGCUCAACGGAUAAAAGGUACUCCGGGGAUAACAGGCUGAUACCGCCCAAGAGUUCAUAUCGACGGCGGUGUUUGGCACCUCGAUGUCGGCUCAUCACAUCCUGGGGCUGAAGUAGGUCCCAAGGGUACGGCUGUUCGCCGUUUAAAGUGGUACGCGAGCUGGGUUUAGAACGUCGUGAGACAGUUCGGUCCCUAUCUGCCGUGGGCGUUGGAAGAUUGAAAGGGGCUGCUCCUAGUACGAGAGGACCGGAGUGGACGCACCACUGGUGUUCGGGUUGUCAUGCCAAUGGCAUUGCCCGGUAGCUAAGUGCGGAAGAGAUAACCGCUGAAAGCAUCUAAGCGGGAAACUUGCCUUGAGAUGAGUCUUCCCUGACUCUUUAAGGGUCCUAAAGGAACGUUUAAGACUAAGACGUUGAUAGGUUGGGUGUGUAAGCGUAGCGAUACGUUGAGCUAACCAAUACUAAUGAACCGUGAGGCUUAACCUG
rnacentral:rRNA from 1 species